AGGGUAAUAGCUCAGUGGUAGAGCACAUGCUUAGCAUGCACAAGGUCCUGGGUUCAAUCCCCAGUACCUCCA
rnacentral:tRNA from 1 species